rnacentral:lncRNA from 10 species
GAUGACAUGACAUGGAGGACUUACUAUGCACCAGGCAUAGUGGCAAGCCCUUGAGAUUCAUUAUCCUAUUUAAUGUGCACAGCAGCCUUAUGAGGGCUGCUGCAGUACCUGAAGAUAUCAACAGUAAAGACUACAAAACAGCAAAGAUGGUGAUCUGCCCCUUCUUUUGGGAGCUCCAGGCCAGAUGUUUUAUCCUGCUAUGUUAAGUCAUCUUGACAUGUUGCCAUGAAAUGGAAACAACUGCUCGUUUUAAUAUUGCUCCAUAUCUUUAUUACAAGAUGCUUUUAUGAUUCUACAAAUCAGGGUUGCCCAGGACAAGGAUAACAGCAAGAAAUAUCUCAAAUUCCCUCUGAAAGCUCUAGGAUCUAAUUAGCACUUAUAUGGAAAAGUCACAUUCCUAAUAAAAAUAAGAUGCAGAAACCUCCAAGUUGGCACUGUAAGAAGAAUUUCUUAAAAAGGAAAGAAAAAUGAAUUAAGAAAUCCCAGCCUUUCUUUCCAAGCUUCACCCUCCUCCUGGCGCUUCUCACAUACUACUGCUGCAACCAUGAUGCACGAAAGAACACUUUCUGC